GAGAAGUUAGUUAAAUUAUAACAUUGUCUUGUCAAGACAAAAUUACUAGUUAAACCCCUGUACCUCUCU
rnacentral:tRNA from 1 species